rnacentral:rRNA from 1 species
AGGGGCAGCAUGAACUUAGCUUGCUAAGUUUGAUGGCGACCGGCGCACGGGUGAGUAACACGUAUCCAACCUGCCGAUGACUCGGGGAUAGCCUUUCGAAAGAAAGAUUAAUACCCGAUGGCAUAGUUCUUCCGCAUGGUGGAACUAUUAAAGAAUUUCGGUCAUCGAUGGGGAUGCGUUCCAUUAGGUUGUUGGCGGGGUAACGGCCCACCAAGCCUUCGAUGGAUAGGGGUUCUGAGAGGAAGGUCCCCCACAUUGGAACUGAGACACGGUCCAAACUCCUACGGGAGGCAGCAGUGAGGAAUAUUGGUCAAUGGACGAGAGUCUGAACCAGCCAAGUAGCGUGAAGGAUGACUGCCCUAUGGGUUGUAAACUUCUUUUAUACGGGAAUAAAGUGAGGCACGUGUGCCUUUUUGUAUGUACCGUAUGAAUAA